rnacentral:rRNA from 1 species
ACGAUGACUCUCGGCAACGGAUAUCUCGGCUCUCGCAUCGAUGAAGAACGUAGCGAAAUGCGAUACCUGGUGUGAAUUGCAGAAUCCCGUGAACCAUCGAGUCUUUGAACGCAAGUUGCGCUCGAGGCCACCCAGUCGAGGGCACGCCUGCCUGGGCAUCACGC